GACGAACGCUGGCGGCGUGCUUAACACAUGCAAGUCGAACGAUGAAGCCAUCUUGCUGGGGGAUUAGUGGCGAACGGGUGAGUAACACGUGGGUGAUCUGCCCCAAACUGUGUUAUAGGCCUGGUAAACUGGGUCUAAUACCGAAUAUGACCGAUACUCGCAUGGAUGGUGGGGGAAGGCUCCGGCGGUUGGGGAUGGGCGCGCGGCCUAUCAGCUUGUUGGUGGGGUAAUGGCUUACCAAGGCGACGACGGGUAGCCGGCCUGAGAGGGCGACCGGCCACACUGGGACUGAGAUACGGCCCAGACUCCUACGGGAGGCAGCAGUGGGGAAUAUUGCACAAUGGGCGGAAGCCUGAUGCAGCGACGCCGCGUGAGGGAUGACGGCCUUCGGGUUGUAAACCUCUUUCACCAGGGACGAAGCGAAAGUGACGGUAACUGGAGAAGAAGCACCGGCUAACUACGUG
rnacentral:rRNA from 1 species